ensembl:lncRNA
GUGUCAGUGUUGUUUGUGUGUAUCAAUGUGUGUGUCAGUGUGUGUGUGUGUGUGGUUGUGUCAGUGUGUGUGUGUGGUUGUGUCAGUGUGUGUGUGUAGUUGUGUCAGUGUGUGUGUGUGUGUGCGUGUGUGUUGAUUAUGUAUCAGUGUGUGUGUGUGUGGUUGUGUCAGGGUGUGUGUGUGGUUGUGUCAGGGUGUGUGUGUGGUUGUGUCAGGGUGUGUGUGUGGUUGUGUCAGGGUGUGUGUGUGGUUGUGUCAGGGUGUGUGUGUGUGUGCGUGUGUGUUGAUUAUGUAUCAGUGUGUGUGUGUGUGGUUGUGUCAGGGUGUGUGUGUGGUUGUGUCAGUGUGUGUGUGUGGUUGUGUCA